GUCUUAAAGAUUAUAAUUUUAAGUCUGACCUGCUCAAUGAUAUAUUAAAUAGCUGCGGUAUUAUGACCGUACAAAGGUAGCAUAAUCAAUAGUUUUUUAAUUAAAAGCUGGAAUGAAUGGUUUAAUGAAAUAAAUACUGUCUUAAUAUAAAAUUUUUAAAAUUUUAUUUUUAGUGAAAAAUCUAAAAUAAUUUAAAAAGACGAGAAGACCCUAUAGAUUUUUAUAAUUAUAAUUAAAUUUUUAAUUUUUUUUAUAAUUUAUUUUUAAUUAAAAAUUAUUUGAUUGGGGUGAUUAUUAAAUUUAUUAAACUUUAAUAUAUUUAAAACAAUAAUUAUUGAAUUGAAGAUCCUGAAUUUUGGAUUAUAGAAUAAAUUACCUUAGGGAUAACAGCGUAAUUUUUUUAGGGAGAUCAUAUUUAUAAAAAAGUUUGC
rnacentral:rRNA from 1 species